GCUUUAUAUAUUACUUAAAUUUGAUUAACUUAUUAAAUAAAAAUUAAAUUUGAUUGUUAUAUUUUGUUGGGGAGAUGAGAGUAUAAAUAUGUGUAACUGCUUAAAUAAAAUACAAUGCUAGGAGSAUUAUUUGUAGAUGAUCCUUAUUAAAGAUUAUAAGAUCAAGUU
rnacentral:rRNA from 1 species